GUAACAACUCACCUGCCGAAGCAACUAGCCCUUAAAAUGGAUGGCGCUUAAGUUGUAUACCUAUACAUUACCGCUAAAGUAGAUGAUUUAUAUUACUUGUGAUAUAAAUUUUGAAACUUUAGUGAGUAGGAAGGUACAAUGGUAUGCGUAGAAGUGUUUGGCGUAAGCCUUCAUGGAGCUGCCAUUGGCACAGAUCUUGGUGGUAGUAGCAAAUAAUCGAAUGAGACCUUGGAGGACUGAAGUGGAGAAGGGUUUCGUGUGAACAGUGGUUGAUCACGAGUUAGUCGGUCCUAAGUUCAAGGCGAAAGCCGAAAAUUUUCAAGUAAAAAAUCAGUGAGUAAUAUUGUCAAAUCUUUUAUGAUUUUUAAAUACUUGAAUAAUUUUGAACGAAAGGGAAUACGGUUCCAAUUCCGUAACCUGUUGAGUAUCCGUUUGUUAUUAAAUAUGGGCCUCGUGCUCAUCCUGGCAACAGGAACGACCAUAAAGAAGCCGUCGAGAGAUAUCGGAAGAGUUUUCUUUUCUGUUUUAUAGCCGUACUACCAUGGAAGUCUUUCGCAGAGAGAUAUGGUAGAUGGGCUAGAAGAGCAUGACAUAUACUGUUGUGUCGAUAUUUUCUCCUCGGACCUUGAAAAUUUAUGGUGGGGACACGCAAACUUCUCAACAGGCCGUACCAAUAUCCGCAGCUGGUCUCCAAGGUGAAGAGUCUCUAGUCGAUAGAAUAAUGUAGGUAAGGGAAGUCGGGCAAAUUAGAUCCGUAACUUCGGGAUACGGAUUGGCUCUGAAGAUUGAGAUAGUCGGGCUUGAUUGGGAAACAAUAACAUGGUUUAUGUGCUAUGUCUGGGUAAGUAGAGUUUCUAUCAUUUAUGAUUUUGACUUGUUCCAUGGAUAGUUUAGUUACAUAGCCAAUUGUGGAACUUUCAUGCUACAAUUUUGACAAUACUAAUUGGGUUAAACCAGUGAGGUCUUAUUAAUUAUAACGAGUAUCAAUUAACAAUCAUUUCUGAAGUGGUACGGACUUG
rnacentral:ncRNA from 1 species